GCACGGUUGUCUCAAAAGAGCCUUGGCAAAGAAGAUGAAGAUCAUGUCUUAGGCUUAGAAACAAGAUUUUUUUGUGUAGUUUUGAUGUAUGUGAAUUGGUAUUAUGUUUUGGAAGCACAUUUGCAUGGACAGACUUAUGAUUGGAUCUUUUUUCUCUAUUUGAUGCAGGGUUAUUUUGACAUAUUUCAGAGCAAAGUCAAAACGCCGAACAAGGCAUUCGUGUUAGCUUUAGAACGAAUUAGUCCAUGGAAAGCAAGGUGUUUGGAUUGGAUUUCUGGACUGCUCAAUUUUAUUCACUGGCCUUUUUUCAUGUGGGUUUUUGGGAAGAUUAUAACAUUUUGA